GAUGAAGAACGCAGCGAAAUGCGAUAAGUAAUGUGAAUUGCAGAAUUCAGUGAAUCAUCGAAUCUUUGAACGCACAUUGCGCCCCCUGGUAUUCCGGGGGGCACGCCUGUUCGAGCGUCAUUUCAACCCUCAAGCCCCCGGCUUGACGUUGGGCGCGGCCCCUCCCUCGGGGGGGGCCCGCCUGAAACCCCUCGGCGCCGCCGUCCGUCCCAGAGCGCAGCGAGUUUUCUGCCCGCGCUACUGGACCGGGCCGCUGGCCGCCGGUGAAUCCAUUUUCUCAAGGUUGACCUCGGAUCAGGUGGGGAUACCCGCUGAACUUAAGCAUAUCAAUAAGCGGAGGA
rnacentral:misc_RNA from 1 species